UCGCUCCACUCCAGCCAAAGGAAUUGCAUAGAACGUCAACUUAUUUCAAUUUUCAAUUCUUUUUAAGUAUUUAUUCCUCUUUCCAAACGUCAAGUUUUAUUCCUCCUCCACCUCCGCCGUCGCCGCCGCCUCCCGCCGCCGCCAUGGGCCUCUCCUGGAGCAAAAGGCGCCGCCACGAGAAUCAGCAAGCCCCACCCCCACCACUACCACUUCCCCCACCCCCUCCCACCUUCUCCUCGUCAAACCCCCCUCCGCCACCAACUCCACCGCCCCCACAACAACCAUCGCCGCCCCCGGCCCCGCCCCCCAGCAGCUGCAAUCCAGCCACAACCAGCUAUGCUUUCGCGGCCAACGCCCCUCAUUCAGCCGCCCCCUAUCCCGCGCUUCUUCCGCCCCCUUACGCCCCUCCCCCGCCGCCGCCUUACAACUACAGCUACAACUUCUCCGGCUACUACUCGAGGCCCGUCCAUAUGAUGGGCCACCACAACUACCGCCCCUAUUACGUCCCCCAGAUCAGCGGCUGGGGCCCCUCCGCCGCACCCCUCCCGCAACUGCCGCCUCUGCAGCCCGCUCCCUAUGUGGAUCACCAGAGCGCCAAGAAGGUCAAAAACGAUGUCAAUGUUCACAAAGACACCAUUAGGCUUCAAUUGGAUGAUCUCUCUCCUGAUUGCCACUUGGUUACCUUCACUUUUGAUGCCUUGGUUGAUGGAAGAAUUACUAUCUUCUAUUUUGCCAAGGAGGGAGAGAACUGUAAAUUCUCUCCAGUUUAUCCAGAGAUCGUGCCAGUUAAAAUCCCAUUUCAGAAAGGACUAGGACAGAAAUUCUGCCAACCUUCUGGAACUGGCGUGGACUUAGGCUUCUUUGAUACCGAUGACCUGUCAAAGCCUGUUCCAGAAGAAGAUAUCUACCCUCUUGUAAUUAUAGCAGAGUCAUGUCAAGCAUCGACACCUGUGGAUGAGGGUUCAAAAGAUGAAGUGCUAAAUGCAUCUCCUCAUGCUCAGAUCACUCAGGCUGUCUUACAAAAGAAGGGUGACGGGAGUUUUCAAGCGAAAGUGAUAAAGCAGAUUUUGGCAAUUGAUGGCGCACGCUAUGAGUUGCGUGAGAUUUUUGGGAUAAGUGAUUCAGGUGAAGCUUCAAUCAGCAACGUGGAAUCGGGAAAAGAAUGUAUCAUUUGUUUGACUGAGGACAAGAACACGGCUGUCUUGCCCUGUAGGCACAUGUGUUUGUGCAGCGACUGCGCCAAAGAGUUGAGGGUCCAAUCAAACAAGUGUCCCGUAUGCCGGCAGCCCAUCCAGGAGCUUCUGGAGAUCAAGGUCGAUGAAGUGGCCGCCGAAACUGCUGAAAUUUGCUGACGUGGAAUGGCCGCCCUCGGACUACGAACAACACUGUCGAGUUGGGUUUAUCGAAGUCUAAUUCUACCCUCAAUUAGAGACAUAAAUUAGAAAGUGGAGAGAAUUGACCAAAAUUAACAGAGAAUAACAGCGAGAAUUGAUAGAAUAAUGUGUUUUUUCCUUCUUCUUUUUUUGAAUAAUUUGUGUUGUUUACGUAGAGAAUGAGAUGAAUUCUAUCACUUUAUUUUUUUAAAGGGUUUUUGUUGUUUCACGCAGUGGGUAGAGAGAAUGGCAGCGAAAAUUGAUAGAAUAAUACAUUUUAAUUUGAUCGGAAUAUUUCGUCAUGAGAAAAAUAAAAAAAAUACUAAGUUCAUGUAUUUAGAUUCAAAAAAUAAAGUUCGUGUAUUUACACGCAAAUAGCCUAAUAUUAAUUAUCUUAAAAUUAUCUUAUUUACCAAACACAUAUAAACAAUAAUAAUCUCACUCAAUCCAUAUUAUUUUAGAUCAAUCCACAUUAUUUUAUCUAAGUUUUACCUAUCAUGCUUUAUCUCAAAUUAGUUACAUAUAACCGUAAUUGUUAAAAUAAUAUGUGAAACCAAAUCGAAAUACUAUUAAAAUGCGAUUCGAAUUUUUAGUUUAAUUCGGUUUUUAUUUUUCAAAAAAUUAACUUUUCCAUUUGGUUCAAUUUGUUUUUUUUUUUUUUUUUUAAUUGAACAAAAUCUAUAUUCUGUAUAAAGAAGCAGUUCAACGUAACAAAUUCCCGACAAAAAAUUUUGACAGUAUUUUUUACAAUUCACAUUCAAAUAAACAUGGAGUUCUAAAAAAAUAAAACAAAACAUGGUGUUGACCAUCGCAAAUUUGAUUCAACGUCUUUUUAUUUAGGCAUAAAAAUUUGAUUCAACGUCUUUAAAUGAACAAGACAACAAUCAACAAUUUGUUCAAGUCUUAGAUCUCAUGUUUUUUCAAUUAAAAAAUGCUCGAUCUUCACAUUAUUUAACAUAUUUCCACUGCUAUUUAUAAUCCAGAAACAAAUACUAGUAUUACAAUAAAAGGCAAAAAAAAAAUGAAGUAUAGCUCAAUCACCUAACAAUUCAAUCGAGACGUGCGUCUUCUCUGCCUUCCCGCAACAUCUGUACGAUGAAAUCAUGAGCGAAGGCGGCUCGAUCGCCGGCGACGGAAGCCGUUAGAUCGUUAAUCCAGCAAGUGGGGGUUACCGGAUCUUUCUUAUUCUCUCUGCUGCUGCUCUCCUUGACGCACAAAGAAAAGAACGCAUAAUGAAGAAGAAGAAGCUGUAGCGGCGCUGGAUUCAGCUCACAUACCCCUCUCUCUCUCUCUCUAAAAAACGAAUCUGAUUCUACUGUUGAAAGACUGCAACUUGGAGAGAAGCCAAAAGUAAAACAAUGGAUGAUGAUCGACUGAGUGAGUUACCUGACUCGUUAAUCCUCUCCAUUCGACAACCCUUCUCUCCAAACGAGUCUUCACUUUGGCUGUUGAAUCUUGAAAGUUUAUUUCUGGGGCUCUUGCACAAUGGAAAGGUGCCAUAUUCUUCCCCUCUGAUCCCAUCUUCUGAUAUUGAUUCGUGGCCCAAAAACAAGUGGAAAAGCUAGCUUUUGGUUUCGGAUAUAAAAUUCAUGGUGCACACUACUUGGUUCCACAGUGUUUGUAUUCAUGCUCAUCAAUCACAGAAUUAAACCUACGCAAUUGCUCGUUGAAAUUCGAGAGGAAUGUGCAGUGGAAUCAACUCAAGAGUUUAUCAAUUAAAUGUUUGGAAAAGUUGGUUUUUCCGUGUGUUUACGAAUUACUGAAAACUUCAAUAUCCGAUCUACUAGCUUGAAGAUUCUCAAAAUGGUCUGGUGUAUUGUGAAGGCAGAGGGAGAGCUGAGAAAUCUAUUGAAGUUAAAAAUUUCAGGUCGUGUUUGUGGUAGUUGUUUGCUAUAUGUCCCUUCUUUGACUACUGCAACUCUUUCUUACUUUAUGACUCGUGUGGACGUGUCUCGUGAGAAAAUGUUGCAUCAAGUUUUUUGAAGCAUCCGUUA